CUUUAAACCAAUUUAUCUUUGUGAAGAAACUCCGAAUUUUUAUUUUGUUUACAUAUCUGGACCAGUGAAGUGAUUCUCUACCGCGCACUGAACUCGGAAUUCGUGAAUUUUGAGACACUCUGUAUAAUUUUCCAUUUUACCGAUUUUUUUUAAUCACUUGGCAGUAACAGUAAGUAAAAUAAAUCAAGAAAUUCUCAAUUUGUUUAUUGUUUAUUGAUUGCGACUUAUUGUUCUGUUCAGAUUACUGUUCGACGAGAAAAUAAAGCUCUUACAGUGCUCAACAAAUUUUAGCGUUUGGAAAUGAAAAUUUUCCUCUACGCGUGCUUCAGAAACUUUCACCAAAGGAAAAACAUGGAAUCAGAAUCAUCAACCAGUAAAGAAAAUAAAAAUUGUCGCAGUUUGCCUUGUAACAACAUUAAAUUUGAAUCAAGCUUAAUUGUUUAUCUAGUCUAAUUUUUAGCUCGUUACUUAUGUUUCUCUUGUUCGUUCGUUUUGUAAAUGUUUAUUCUAACAAUAUAAACAAAACCUGCUACCGCGGGCAUUUGGCGCUUCCUGCAGCGCCUUGCAAACAUCUAAUCUUAUCUGUAAUCUUGCGAAAUUCAGCCGAUUGAAGCGGAAAACGCGCGUUUGCGUCAUCGAUCAAAUUGUCAAUUGACGAGCAAGCGUUCUUUGUUGGAUUUUGUUGUUCGUUUUCGUGAACACGGCCCAGAAAAUUCAAGGUAUACCGAAUGUUAAUUAGCUCGGUGUGCGGUGACCCGCGACGUCUAGAUAGUAAAAAGACGGCACUAUCGGCGAGGGAUUAUCAGCUCAUCUACAAACGGCACCCAUCUACCGGAACCGGAAACAGCCCAACAACACAAGCGUUACCUGGCGAUCCCUCCUGGCCAACUUAGCCACAGCCAUGGAGACGUUCACCAGCUAAUCCCCGACUUCCAGGAUGGGUUCGCCAGGAGGAUCGAGUUCAAAAUCUCCUUGAACAUAAUGUUAAUUGUGAAGUUUCCGCACUUGCCAUGGGAGAAUUUUGAGUGUGGGAGCCUUUGUUUCGAUGAACGCAAGGUUACCAAGUCUGCUAACAGUUACGUACUCUAGGAAGGAACUUCGUUUUAAUUCGCAAUUAACAAAAGUUCACACAUAUUUAAUAUAUAACUGCGUUUAUGGUUUUUUUACCAUUAUAGUACACGAAUUAAGAACAGAUGGCAGAUAAGGCGGAUGUGGAACACGCAAUUAUUUUUCAAGAUUUAACAGGCAACAUACGACAUAAAUUAAUGCUAAUAUUGCUCAAUCUGGAAGGAUACAUUACCCAAAAACAGGCUACAAGAAGUUGGAGCUGUAAUCAUGAAACACUAAGACAAAGGAAAGGAAAUUCAGGACUGGGGGCUCUAAUUUGAUGGAAUUCAUCAGUUAUCAUUCUUUAAUCAAGUUCCUUCCAGCGUAUAUUUAGAAGAACAAAAUAAUGACAAUGCUAAAUCAAAUUAGAAAUGUGUAGAAACUUUACAACAAAACUGGGGCGCAGCGAGCAUUCGCCCACAUUAGAGGAUAGUUCACUCCUUGUCAAUCCCGGAGUAAAAAAAAGGGACGGACCGUCAAGGAUCAAGAACUUCCAACCAUAAUAUCUCGAAAAAUUUAAGAAUUUGUUCACUGUGAUUCAGUGAUGUGUAAACAAAUAUGGAAUAAACUUUGACAAUAAA